CCUACGGGAGACAGCAGUGGGGAAUAUUGCACAAUGGGGGAAACCCUGAUGCAGCGACGCCGCGUGAGUGAAGAAGUAUUUCGGUAUGUAAAGCUCUAUCAGCAGGGAAGAAGCAAGACGGUACCUUACUAAGCAGCCCCGGCUAACUACGUGCCAGCAGCCGCGGUAAUACGUAGGGGGCAAGCGUUAUCCGGAUUUACUGGGUGUAAAGGGAGCGUAGACGGUAUGGCAAGUCUGAUGUGAAAGCCCAGGGCUUAACUCUGGUACUGCUUUUGAAACUGUUAGGCUAGAGUGCAGGAGAGGUAAGUGGAAUGCCUAGUGUAGCGGUGGAAUGCGUAGAGAUUAGGAGGAACACCAGUGGCGAAGGCGGCUUACUAGACAGUAACUGACGUUGAGGCUCGAAAGCGUGGGGAGCAAACAGGAUUAGAUACCCGAGUAGUC
rnacentral:rRNA from 1 species